AAAUUGAAGAGUUUGAUCAUGGCUCAGAUUGAACGCUGGCGGCAGGCCUAACACAUGCAAGUCGAACGGUAACAGGAAACAGCUUGCUGUUUCGCUGACGAGUGGCGGACGGGUGAGUAAUGUCUGGGAAACUGCCUGAUGGAGGGGGAUAACUACUGGAAACGGUAGCUAAUACCGCAUAAUGUCGCAAGACCAAAGAGGGGGA
rnacentral:rRNA from 1 species